rnacentral:rRNA from 1 species
UCGGGUUGUAAAGCACUUUUGUCCGGAAAGAAAACUUCUGCAUUGAUACUGCGGGAGGAUGACGGUACCGGAAGAAUAAGCACCGGCUAACUACGUGCCAGCAGCGCGGUAAUCGUAGGGUGCGAGCGUUAAUCGGAAUUACUGGGCGUAAAGCGUGCGCAGGCGGUUCGUUAAGACAGAUGUGAAAUCCCCGGGCUUAACCUGGGAACUGCAUUUGUGACUGGCGAGCUAGAGUAUGGCAGAGGGGGGUAGAAUUCCACGUGUAGCAGUGAAAUGCGUAGAGAUGUGGAGGAAUACCGAUGGCGAAGGCAGCCCCCUGGGCCAAUACUGACGCUCAUGCACGAAAGCGUGGGGAGCAAACAGGAUUAGAUACCCUGGUAGUCCACGCCCUAAACGAUGUCAACUAGUUGUUGAGGAUUCAUUUCCUUAGUAACGUAGCUAACGCGUGAAGUUGACCGCCUGGGGAGUACGGUCGCAAGAUUAAAACUCAAAGGAAUUGACGGGGACCCGCACAAGCGGUGGAUGAUGUGGAUUAAUUCGAUGCAACGCGAAAAACCUUACCUACCCUUGACAUGGUCGGAACCCUGCUG